rnacentral:rRNA from 1 species
UAGGGAAUCUUCCACAAUGGGCGCAAGCCUGAUGGAGCAACACCGCGUGAGUGAAGAAGGGUUUCGGCUCGUAAAGCUCUGUUGUUAAAGAAGAACACGUAUGAGAGUAACUGUUCAUACGUUGACGGUAUUUAACCAGAAAGUCACGGCUAACUACGUGCCAGCAGCCGCGGUAAUACGUAGGUGGCAAGCGUUAUCCGGAUUUAUUGGGCGUAAAGAGAGUGCAGGCGGUUUUCUAAGUCUGAUGUGAAAGCCUUCGGCUUAACCGGAGAAGUGCAUCGGAAACUGGAUAACUUGAGUGCAGAAGAGGGUAGUGGAACUCCAUGUGUAGUGGUGGAAUGCGUAGAUAUAUGGAAGAACACCAGUGGCGAAGGCGGCUACCUGGUCUGCAACUGACGCUGAGACUCGAAAGCAUGGGUAGCGAACAGGAUUAGAUACCCUGGUAGUCCAUGCCGUAAACGAUGAGUGCUAGGUGUUGGAGGGUUUCCGCCCUUCAGUGCCGGAGCUAACGCAUUAAGCACUCCGCCUGGGGAGUACGACCGCAAGGUU